rnacentral:rRNA from 1 species
UCAGCUAAUACCGGAUAAGCCCUUACGGGGAAAGAUUUAUCGCCGAAAGAUCGGCCCGCGUCUGAUUAGCUAGUUGGUGAGGUAAUGGCUCACCAAGGCGACGAUCAGUAGCUGGUCUGAGAGGAUGAUCAGCCACAUUGGGACUGAGACACGGCCCAAACUCCUACGGGAGGCAGCAGUGGGGAAUAUUGGACAAUGGGCGCAAGCCUGAUCCAGCCAUGCCGCGUGAGUGAUGAAGGCCCUAGGGUUGUAAAGCUCUUUUGUGCGGGAAGAUAAUGACGGUACCGCAAGAAUAAGCCCCGGCUAACUUCGUGCCAGCAGCCGCGGUAAUACGAAGGGGGCUAGCGUUGCUCGGAAUCACUGGGCGUAAAGGGUGCG